rnacentral:rRNA from 1 species
AUUGAACGCUGGCGGCAUGCCUUACACAUGCAAGUCGAACGGUAACAGGUCUUCGGAUGCUGACGAGUGGCGAACGGGUGAGUAAUACAUCGGAACGUGCCCAGACGUGGGGGAUAACGAGGCGAAAGCUUUGCUAAUACCGCAUACGAUCUAAGGAUGAAAGCAGGGGACCGCAAGGCCUUGUGCGUUUUGAGCGGCCGAUGGCAGAUUAGGUAGUUGGUGGGAUAAAAGCUUACCAAGCCGACGAUCUGUAGCUGGUCUGAGAGGACGACCAGCCACACUGGGACUGAGACACGGCCCAGACUCCUACGGGAGGCAGCAGUGGGGAAUUUUGGACAAUGGGCGAAAGCCUGAUCCAGCAAUGCCGCGUGCAGGAUGAAGGCCUUCGGGUUGUAAACUGCUUUUGUACGGAACGAAAAGGCUCUGGCUAAUACCUGGGGCACAUGACGGUACCGUAAGAAUAAGCACCGGCUAACUACGUG